rnacentral:rRNA from 1 species
UCAGGCCUAACACAUGCAAGUCGAGCGGCAGCGGGUCCUUCGGGAUGCCGGCGAGCGGCGGACGGGUGAGGAAUGCAUCGGAAUCUGCCUUUUUGUGGGGGAUAACGUAGGGAAACUUACGCUAAUACCGCAUACGUCCUACGGGAGAAAGUGGGGGACCGCAAGGCCUCACGCAGAAAGAUGAGCCGAUGCCGGAUUAGCUAGUUGGCGGGGUAAAGGCCCACCAAGGCGACGAUCCGUAGCUGGUCUGAGAGGAUGAUCAGCCACACUGGAACUGAGACACGGUCCAGACUCCUACGGGAGGCAGCAGUGAGGAAUAUUGCGCAAUGGACGAAAGUCUGACGCAGCCAUGCCGCGUGAAGGAUUGAAGGUCCUAUGGAUUGUAAAGUUCUUUGUACGGGAAUAAACGCUACCUCGUGAGGUAG